rnacentral:rRNA from 1 species
CCUACGGGUGGCAGCAGUGGGGAAUAUAGGACAAUGGGCGCAAGCCUGACCCAGCAACGCCGCGUGAGGGAAGAAGGCUCUCGGUUUGUAAACUUCUUUUAUCAGGGACGAAGCAAGUGACGGUACCUGAUGAAUAAGCCACUGCUAACUACGUGCCAGCAGCCGCGGUAAUACGUAGGUAGCCAUCGUUAUUCGGAUGUACUGGGAGUAAAGGGCGUGUAGGCGGGAAAGCAAGUCAGAUGUGAAAACCAUGGGCUCAACCUGUGGACUGCAUUGGAAACUGUUUUGCUUGAGUACUGGAGAGGCAGACGGAAUUCCUAGUGUAGCGGUGAAAUGCGUAGAUAUUAGGAGGAACACCAGUGGCGAAGGCGGUCUGCUGGACAGCAACUGACGCUGAGGCGCGAAAGCGUGGGGAGCAAACAGGAUUAGAUACCCCUGUAGUC